GCGUUUGGUACGCGGGACGGGACGGAACAGAGUGGGACGAGGCGUUCCGUCCCGCGUUUGGUGCGCCUAAAAUGAGUGGAACGCGCUGUUCCACGGAACAGAUUUUGGAUGAUUUUUUGUUCCACACCCCCACCCUGGAACGGGUUGUUCCACGUCUGUGGGACAGAAAUUUCCAAUAUUUUUAGACAAAAAUGCCCUUGGUCUUUUUCAAAAUUUACAACUUCAAAAUCAGUUUACAAACCCUAAAAACAAAAUCUCUUCUUCUCAGCCGUUUCUCUUCGCCUCUACAGCCCUUUCCCCUUCGCAACACCUUCCUGCUCAUCUUCUUCUGUACAGCCUCACAACCUUCCUCCUCGUCCCCUUCGCAACCUUCCUCCUCGUCCUCUUCCGUGUAGCAGCUCUGCGAACUUGGUGGUCCUCAGGUAUCUCUCUCUCUCUCUCUCUCUCUCUCUCUCUCUCUCUUUCCUCUGUACGGAGGAUUUGCAUUUUGGGUUGCAGACCCGGUGCCUCGGGGCAGACGGUGGUAACUCCCUCCCCUCUCAAAAAUCUCUGAUCGAAGGUUUUAAAAUCUUCAACUUGGAUACAAGAUUUAAUAUAACAUGAGCACUCGGGGGGCCAGGGCGCCACAUGCAAGAGGGCGGCGAAGAAAGAAUGAGUUGAACUUGGACCUCAAUAGUGCCCCACCUGGUGACAGUCGGGAACAGGAGGGAACUUCAACUCAGUCAGUGCCUCAGAAUAAUCAAGCGACUUUGCAAGUUCAGCCCAUACCACCUAAUACGAUUGAUGUUGAGGCUAUUGAUGAUGAUGUUAUUGAAUCCAGCCCCACGGCUUUUGCUGAGGC